rnacentral:rRNA from 1 species
GAUGAACGCUGGCGGCGUGCCUAAUACAUGCAAGUCGAGCGAACGGACGAGAAGCUUGCUUCUCUGAUGUUAGCGGCGGACGGGUGAGUAACACGUGGAUAACCUACCUAUAAGACUGGGAUAACUUCGGGAAACCGUAGCUAAUACCGGAUAAUAUUUUGAACCGCAUGGUUCAAAAGUGAAAGACGGUCUUGCUGUCACUUAUAGAUGGAUCCGUGCUGCAUUAGCUAGUUGGUAAGGUAACGGCUUACCAAGGCAACGAUGCAUAGCCGACCUGAGAGGGUGAUCGGCCACACUGGAACGGAGACACGGUCCAGAGGCCUACGGGAGGCAGCAGUAGGGAAUCUUCCGCAAUGGGCGGAAGCCUGACGGAGCAACGCCGCGUGAGUGAUGAAGGUCUUCGGAUCGUAAAACUCUGUUAUUAGGGUAGAACAUAUGUGUAAGUAACUGUGCACAUCUUGACGGUACCUAAUCAGAAAGCAACGGCUAACUACGUG